rnacentral:rRNA from 1 species
ACGCUCGACACCUACGGAAGGCAGCAGUGGGGAAUAUUGCACAAUGGGGGAAACCCUGAUGCAGCGACGCCGCGUGAGCGAAGAAGUAUUUCGGUAUGUAAAGCUCUAUCAGCAGGGAAGAAGAAAGACGGUACCUGACUAAGAAGCCCCGGCUAACUACGUGCCAGUAGCCGCGGUAAUCUGAGCGGGCUGGCAAGGC